GUGCUCACUUUGGCAGCAUAUAUAUUAAAAUUGGAAUGACACAGAGAAGAUUUAGCAUGGCCCCUAAACAAGGAUGACAUGCAAAUUCAGGAAGCAUUCCAUAUUUAA